AGAGUUUGAUCCUGGCUCAGGAUGAACGCUAGCUACAGGCUUAACACAUGCAAGUCGAGGGGAAACGAUAUUGGAAAGCUUGCUUCCGAUAGGCGUUGACCGGCGCACGGGUGAGUAACGCGUAUCCAACCUGCCCACCACUUGGGGAUAACCUUGCGAAAGUAAGACUAAUACCCAAUGAUAUCUCUAGAAGACAUCUGAAAGAGAUUAAAGAUUUAUCGGUGAUGGAUGGGGAUGCGUCUGAUUAGCUUGUUGGCGGGGUAACGGCCCACCAAGGCAACGAUCAGUAGGGGUUCUGAGAGGAAGGUCCCCCACAUUGGAACUGAGACACGGUCCAAACUCCUACGGGAGGGAGCA
rnacentral:rRNA from 1 species